CACGCUGUAAACGAUGAAUACUAGGUGUGGGGGGACUGACCCCUUCCGUGCCGCAGUUAACACAAUAAGUAUUCCACCUGGGGAGUACGAUCGCAAGAUUGAAACUCAAAGGAAUUGACG
rnacentral:rRNA from 1 species